GAUCAUGGCUCAGGAUGAACGCUAGCGUACAGGCUUAACACAUGCAAGUCGAGGGGCAGCAUGACUUAGCUUGCUAAGUUUGAUGGCGACCGGCGCACGGGUGAGUAACACGUAUCCAACCUGCCGAUGACUCGGGGAUAGCCUUUCGAAAGAAAGAUUAAUACCCGAUGGCAUAGUUCUUCCGCAUGGUAGAACUAUUAAAGAAUUUCGGUCAUCGAUGGGGAUGCGUUCCAUUUAGGG
rnacentral:rRNA from 1 species